UGAGUAACCUGCCCUUCACUCUGGGAUAACUCCGGGAAGCCGGGGCUAAUACUGGAUAUGACUCGAACAGGCAUCUGUUUCGGGUGGAAAGAUUUAUUGGUGGAGGAUGGACUCACGGCCUAUCAGCUUGUUGGUGAGGUAAUGGCUCACCAAGGCGACGACGGGUAGCCGGCCUGAGAGGGGCGACGUCCGGACCACACGGUCGGGACUAGGACGACCGACCCGGACCCGAACGUACCCGUUACCCGGGUAAC
rnacentral:rRNA from 1 species